GUGUCAGCAGCCGCGGUAAUACGUAGGGUGCGAGCGUUGUCCGGAGUUACUGGGCGUAAGGAGCUCGUAGGCGGUUUGUCGCGUCGGCCGUGAAAUCCUGCUGCUCAACGGCAGGCUUGCGGUCGAUACGGGCAGACUAGAGUUCGGUAGGGGAGACCGGAAUUCCUGGUGUAGCGGUGAAAUGCGCAGAUAUCAGGGGGAACACCGGUGGCGAAGGCGGGUCUCUGGGCCGAUACUGACGCUGAGGAGCGAAAGCGUGGGGAGCGAACAGGAUUAGAUACCCCCGUAGUCC
rnacentral:rRNA from 1 species